GUCUACUUGAACUUCGGUUUGGGUGGCGGACGGGUGAGUAACGCGUAAAGAACUUGCCUCACAGACAGGGACAACAUUUGGAAACGAAUGCUAAUACCUGAUAUUAUGAUUAUAGGGCAUCCUAUAAUUAUGAAAGCUAUAUGCGCUGUGAGAGAGCUUUGCGUCCCAUUAGCUAGUUGGAGAGGUAACGGCUCACCAAGGCGAUGAUGGGUAGCCGGCCUGAGAGGGUGAUCGGCCACAAGGGGACUGAGACACGGCCCUUACUCCUACGGGAGGCAGCAGUGGGGAAUAUUGGACAAUGGACCAAGAGUCUGAUCCAGCAAUUCUGUGUGCACGAUGAAGUUUUUCGGAAUGUAAAGUGCUUUCAGUUGGGAAGAAAAAAAUGACGGUACCAACAGAAGAAGUGACGGCUAAAUACGUGCCAGCAGCCGCGGUAAUACGUAUGUCACAAGCGUUAUCCGGAUUUAUUGGGCGUAAAGCGCGUCUAGGUGGUUAUGUAAGUCUGAUGUGAAAAUGCAGGGCUCAACUCUGUAUUGCGUUGGAAACUGCAUGACUAGAGUACUGGAGAGGUAAGCGGAACUACAAGUGUAGAGGUGAAAUUCGUAGAUAUUUGUAGGAAUGCCGAUGGGGAAGCCAGCUUACUGGACAGAUACUGACGCUGAAGCGCGAAAGCGUGGGUAGCAAACAGGAUUAGAUACCCUGGUAGUCCACGCCGUAAACGAUGAUUACUAGGUGUUGGGGGUCGAACCUCAGCGCCCAAGCAAACGCGAUAAGUAAUCCGCCUGGGGAGUACGUACGCAAGUAUGAAACUCAAAGGAAUUGACGGGGACCCGCACAAGCGGUGGAGCAUGUGGUUUAAUUCGACGCAACGCGAGGAACCUUACCAGCGUUUGACAUCUUAGGAAUGAGACAGAGAUGUUUCAGUGUCCCUUCGGGGAAACCUAAA
rnacentral:rRNA from 1 species